GACGAACGCUGGCGGCGUGCCUAACACAUGCAAGUCGAACGAAACGUCCGGGUCUUUGGGCGCACGGGGGCGGAAGGCGUGGGAAGCUGCACGUGGGUUCGGAAUACCUCCCCGAAAGGGAUGCUCAUGCCGGAUAAGGUCUUAGGACCAAAGAUUUAUCGCCUUUGGAUGGGCCGGCGUUGGAUUCGCUGGUUGGGAGGGUAAUAGCCUACCAAGGCGUGGAUACAUAGCUGGUCAGAGAGGAUGAUCAGCCACACUGGGACGGAGACACGGCCCAGACUCCUACGGGAGGAAGGAGUGGGGAAUAUUGGAGAACGGGAGAAAGCCUGAGCCAGCAAGGCCGCGGGAGUGCUGAAGGCCGUAGGGAAGUAAAGCUCUUUUACCAGGGAGGAUAAUGACAGUACCGGGAGAAAAAGCCCCGGCUAACUCCGUG
rnacentral:rRNA from 1 species